AGAGUUUGAUCAUGGCUCAGGAUGAACGCUAGCGGUAUGCUUAACACAUGCAAGUCGAACGAAAAAAUUUGAAAUAAUUAAAGAAAUUUAAAAAAUCUAUUUUUUAGUGGCGAACGGGUGAGUAAUGCGUGAGAAUUUGCCUUUAGGAGGAAGAUAACUAUUAGAAAUAAUAGCUAAUACUCCGUAAAGUCUUGUUAUUCAAGAUGAAAGAAUAAAUUCGCCUAAAGAGAAGCUCACGUCUGAUUAGCUAGUUGGUAGGGUAAAGGCCUACCAAGGCGACGAUCAGUAGCUGGUUUGAGAGGAUGAUCAGCCACAUUGGAACUGAGAUACGGUCCAAACUCCUACGGGAGGCAGCAGUGGGGAAUUUUCUGCAAUGGGCGAAAGCCUGACAGAGCAAUACCGCGUGAGGGAACGAAGGCUUUCGAGUUGUAAACCUCUUUUUUCAAGGAUGAAGAUCUGACAGUACUUGAAGAAUAAGCAUCGGCUAACUCUGUGCCAGCAGCCGCGGUAAUACAGGGGAUGCAAGUGCUAUCCGGAAUUAUUGGGCGUAAAGCGUCUGUAGGUUGAUUUAUAAGUCUUUUGUUAAAUAUUUAAGCUUAACUUAAAAAAUGCAAAGGAAACUAUUUAUCUAGAGUUUGGUAGAGGUAAAGGGAAUUUCCAGUGAAAUGGUGAAAUAUUUAGAUAUUGGAAAGAACACCAAGGGCGAAGGCAUUUUACUGGGCCAUAACUGACACUGAGAGACGAAAGCUAGGGGAGCAAACGGGAUUAGAUACCCCGGUAGUCCUAGCCGUAAACGAUGGAUACUAGAUGUUAUAAUUUUAAAAUUAUAGUAUCGAAGCUAACGCGUUAAGUAUCCCGCCUGGGAAGUAUGCUCGCAAGAGUGAAACUCAAAGGAAUUGACGG
rnacentral:rRNA from 1 species